rnacentral:lncRNA from 1 species
GUGUUUCCAAGCGCGUGAAUGAGAGCGCGUUCUUUGGUAUUUUUCUCCGGGAAAGACAAUAACAAUUCUCCGUCUUAAAUUGUAUCGUUUAUUUACGUAUUAGGGUACCUAAGGUUUGAUUAUAAACGUUGUUUUACUUGUUUGGAAAAGUUUAUUAGUAAUGUUUGGGAUUCAUUUUGUAUGCAUUUUGAUGGAGGGAAACUGGGUGGAUUAUUGACUGAAGCACACCAACUAAACUGAGUUUUUAUGAAUAUAAAGUAGGACAUUAUCGAACAAAAGGACAAUUUGUGAUGUAACUGGGACCUUUUGGAGUGCCAACAGAAGAAGAUCAAAGAGCUGGCAUGAAGGGGACCACCAGAGCAGAGCACAGGACACAUCUCAAGCACAGGACAGAGAAAAGUUGAGGAGGUUGGAUGGUAUUCCAGUGGCACAGAUGGGAAGAGAGGUAUUCUGAUCCUGACCCACUUCUACCAGAACACCAAGGACUUUGUUAUGAAGGGCACUUUUGAUGUCGCAAGCGGGAGUUUCUGAAUGGAAAGAAGUCAAACAUUGAAGCCCUCCGCUUGCCCCUCCAUCUUCAACUUUGAGGGUUACAGUGUGGGGGUUAUUGACCGACCAUCAUCGACAACAUCGACAACUUCAGUGUCAAGGAAUGAACGGAAGAGGCGG